rnacentral:lncRNA from 1 species
GUUUCUACUUCAAGCGUGAUCCCCUUGCUUGUGGGAUGAGCUCCAGCAUGGGGUGAGGUACAGAAGAGAGACUCGAAGAGCCUGCCUUGGGACUUAAGCGCCAAACCUGCACCCUAGCAAGUGUCUUACUCCACAUCCGUAAUGGAAGGAAAUGGAGGGCAAACAUUCCUCUGAACCGACAUCUAACUAGAAUCAGCAGCCAGUGUCUGGGUUGAAAGUCUCUCUGAAGGAACCAAGAAUCUCUAAAGUCCACUCCAGCCUGGGUGUGAUGGCUCACGCCUGUAAUCCCAGCACUUUAGGAGGCCGAAGCAGGUGGAUCACCUGAGGUCAGAAGUUCAAAACCAGCCUGGCCAACAUGGUGAAACCCCGUCUCUACUAAAAAUACAAAACUUAGCCAGAUACAGUCAUGCGCCUAUAAUCCCAGCUACUCAGGAGACUGAGGCAAGGAGAAUCCUUGAAUCCGGGAGGCGGAGGUUGCAGUGAGCUAAGAUCGGGUGACUGCACUCUAGCCUGGGCGACAGGGCAAGACUGUCAAAAAGUCUACUCCAGAGCUCCUGCUUGAAUUUUUGGUUUAAAAAUCAUACUAAUCAUACUCUUUAUAUAAGAUGUCUGGAAUUUAAAAUACUCUAGAGCUUCUCUCAACCAAAAAAAAAAAAAAAACGUGGAGUCGUGGUGUGGAUGAAACAAGAAUGGUAAAAUGCACAUCCUACUCCAGAGGCACAAGAGGAGGACAUCCCAUGCUGGCUACUCCUGCCCAGCGUGGUGGGGGAGCAGAAGCUCCAGAGCCCAGACUUGCAGGCUCACGGUGCAGGGUGAACCUGGCCACAGCUCACCUCUGGAACAGCCGCAGUGUCUGCCCUUAGAGAAGAACCCUGAAAUCAGACCAGUUUUUGCGGCCUCCCCCUUUCCUCUCUGUUACAGUGCCCUUUCCAGGCCUUAAGAGAAGUAAAACUUAGCCACAGCGUCAGGAGGUGGACGUGGACCCCCGAAUGUGAGUGGCACGGUUC